CCUACGGGAGGCAGCAGUGAGGAAUAUUGGUCAAUGGGCGGGAGCCUGAACCAGCCAAGCCGCGUGAAGGAAGAAGGCGCCAGGCGUCGUAAACUUCUUUUGUCGGGGAACAAAGGGCGCCACGCGUGGCGUUGUGAGUGUACCCGAAGAAAAAGCAUCGGCUAACUCCGUGCCAGCAGCCGCGGUAAUACGGAGGAUGCGAGCGUUAUCCGGAUUUAUUGGGUUUAAAGGGUGCGUAGGCGGGCUGUUAAGUCAGCGGUAAAAGCCCGGGGCGCAACCCCGGCGAGCCGUUGAAACUGGCUGUC
rnacentral:rRNA from 1 species